UUGGUUUUGUAUGAGUUCUUGAGUUUGUUUAGGAGUGUCGGGCUUCUUUGGUAAAUAUUAUUGAGAUAUUCCUCUUUCAGUAAUGCGAGGAGUGUCUUUUGUAUUGAUCUAAUCACAAAUCAAAUAUGGCUAAGGACACAAGAAGUCGGUCUGAAAUUCGAAAGGAAUUAGAAAGCCGUUUCAAUUCUGAUGAAUUUGCUAACGUGGCUAAUGAUGCGAUAAGUAAAGAAAUAAAUCGCUUUUUUGGAUCAACAGAUAUGAUGGUUUCGACUACAAAAUCAAUUGUGUCUGAAAUAUCUAGUACACUCGAAGUCUUCGUAAAGAAAGAGAUUGACAAAGCCGUCAAUCCCUUAAAUGAUCGAGUUGCUGUUUAUAAAGCCGUUUGGCUGAAGCGAAACUACAUGCCAACAAGAACGAAAAGUAGGCUACUCAAGGCGUUGCAACUUGAGAAUACACGGCAUUCCAGAGAAAGCUCGUGAAAAUUGUUAUGAUCUAGUCAUAGCCUUCUGCAACGAAGAAUUAAAGUGUGAUGUCGCUCUUAAUGAGAUUGAUCGGACACAUCGCGUUGGCAAAUUGAAACAAGAUUCUCAACUGCCUAGGCCAAUUAUUGUAAAAUUU